rnacentral:lncRNA from 10 species
GGCAACCUACUCGGGUUCCCUUCCAUGGUGUGGAAGCUUAGUUCUUUUGCUAUUCACAGUAAAUCUUGCUGUUCCUCGCUCUUUGGGUCCGCACUACCUUUCUGAGCUGUAACACUCACUGCGAAGGUCUGAGGCUUCACUCCUGAAGUUAGCAAGACCGCAAACCCACCAGGAGGAACAAACGAUUCUGGACGUGCCACCUUUAAGAGCUGUAACACUCACUGCCAAGGUCUGCGGCUUCACUCCUGAAGUCAAGUGAGACCACGAACCCACCGGAAGGAAGAAACUCCAGACACAUCUGAACAUCUGAAGGAAAAAACUCUGGACAAACCAUCUUUAAGAACUGUAACACUCACUGCGAAGGUCUGAGGCUUCACUCCUGAAGUCAGCAAGACCACGAACCCACCAGGAGCAACAAAUGACUCUGGACGCACCACCUUUUAAGAGCUGUAACACUCACUGCCAAGGUCCCUGGCUUCAUUCUUGAAGUCAGUGAGACCAAGAACCCACUGGAAGGAACUAAUUCUAGACAUGCUAGUUCCCAGAUCCUGUUUCUCUGGAGAGGCCUAACUAAUACAUAGACAAAGCCAAAUGACUUUUUCCCCUCUCUGAACUUUGAUAUUCUUUAAACAUUUCCAGCUAGUUCUUUUAAUAUUUCUUGAGGAUUUCCUGGGAUUUUUUUUUUGGUAAAUACUGUAUUUCACCAGCUACUCCUUCAAGAACAUAGUCGUCAUAUGCUUUAUUAUCCAUGAAGAUUAUUAGUGAACCCACAGUUCGUUUGUCAAAAUGACUCUAAAUUCGUGAUAUUCAGAUGAUCACACUCCAUAAUACUGCCACCAGAGCCAAGUUAUUGGAGUUACUACUUUUUAUGAUCAGCACAAUUAUUUUUCUAUGAAAGAAUUGUUGGUAUUAAAAGGGCCACAGUAGACUAUUUGCUAUUGAAUGAUUGUUGGUUAGUACUUAAUUAAAACAAAAAUGUUUUUUAUA